rnacentral:rRNA from 1 species
AGAGCACUCCUACGGGAGGCAGCAGUAAGGAAUAUUGCGCAAUGGGCGACAGCCUGACGCAGCGAGCGCCGCGUGGGGAUGAAGGUCUUCGGAUUGUAAACCCCUUUCGGCAGGGAAGAUGGAGCGGGCAACCGUUCGGACGGUACCUGCAGAAGCAGCCACGGCUAACUUCGUGCCAGCAGCCGCGGUAAUACGAAGGUGGCAAGCGUUGUUCGGAUUUACUGGGCGUACAGGGAGCGUAGGCGGUUGGGUAAGCCCUCCGUGAAAUCUCCGGGCCUAACCCGGAAAGUGCGGAGGGGACUGCUUAGCUAGAGGAUGGGAGAGGAGCGCGGAAUUCCCGGUGUAGCGGUGAAAUGCGUAGAGAUCGGGAGGAAGGCCGGUGGCGAAGGCGGCGCUCUGGAACAUUUCUGACGCUGAGGCUCGAAAGCGUGGGGAGCAAACAGGAUUAGAUACCCUGGUAG